GAAUUAUGGGAUACAGGAAGCAGACAAUUCUAACAAAAGACAAAUAUUAUGUAUCUUAUUUAUAACCACAUGUAAACCUUAACCCGAAGUAUAAUAAAUAAAACAAGAAACUCAUCAAUAACUYUUAGUUUAUUAUAAAUCUUCGAUGAUUUAGUCAGAAGGAAAGGAGUAAAAUCAGAGGGGAGUUAAAUUGCACUAGAUGCUGAUCCAAGGUCAGGUUUACGUUUCCUGUGUUUAGAAGGCGACGUUAGGAUAGAGGAGUAGUAAACUGAUUCUAGAUCUGUGCAUAGGGUAAGUCAGCACAAAAGGAAAUAAAAUAUUCAUAUAUGGGUAAACCAAUCAAGUUUCUGUCACUAGGCAGAAUUUUCUUAGACGAUCCAUCAGCUCAGUUACUGGGCAGACCAACCAUAACGCCUCCUAUCAGAAUAAUAUUUAGCAAGAAAAUAAAGCAAUUGAACCAAUAGAAUUUAAGUUACACUUGGUAUCCGAGUAGAAUUAGAACAAUCCACCAAUUGGAAUUUACGUUUGCUUUGUAGUCAGGCAGACAUGACAUAUUUGUCCAAUCACAAAAAAAUCUGAAAGGGGAUUUUUGCUGUAUCUUUGGCUCAGAGGCCUCAGGGUGUGUUUGCCACCGCUGUGUGAGCAAACAAUGACGGAGGACAGGCUGAAGGCGGACCCCUCCAAGCGGGAGGGGCUGGACUCAGGAGAGGGAGACACAGAGCCUAGCCUGCUGCUGCAGAAACUAAAGAGCAACAUCUCUAAGAAUGUACAGGGCAAAGUGGACGUUAUCCUGGUGAGUGCCAAUACAUCUUUGGUAUUGCUCUGUGUAUGAAUUGC